AUAUGUUUAGGAGACCCCCUAAUCCCCUCAGAGAGCUACAAUUCAGAAUGUUUUUGACCAUCAAAAACUUCUUUGCAGGUUAAUCUGGAAAUUGUAGCUCUCUGAGGGGAUUAGGGGGUCUCCUAAUCAUUC
rnacentral:miRNA from 1 species